rnacentral:misc_RNA from 1 species
GAUGAAGAACGUAGCGAAAUGCGAUAAGUAAUGUGAAUUGCAGAAUUCAGUGAAUCAUCGAAUCUUUGAACGCACAUUGCGCCCUCUGGUAUUCCGGGGGGCAUGCCUGUUCGAGCGUCAUUAUAACCACUCAAGCUCUCGCUUGGUAUUGGGGUUCGCGGUUCCGCGGCCCCUAAAAUCAGUGGCGGUGCCUGUCGGCUCUACGCGUAGUAAUACUCCUCGCGAUUGAGUCCGGUCGGUCUACUUGCCAGCAACCCCCAAUUUUUACAGGUUGACCUCGGAUCAGGUAGGGAUACCCGCUGAACUUAAGCAUAUCAAUAAGCGGAGGA